GGACCCGUGGAGGUAACUGGCCAACCUCAUCAGGGUUGUCACCAGAAGAUACGGGUUCAAAUCCCGUCGGGUCCACCA
rnacentral:tRNA from 1 species